rnacentral:lncRNA from 1 species
UCCAUCCUGACUGUCAGCCUGUCCUACAUGGUGGGGAUGAUCGCCAGCUUCUAUGACACCGAGGCUGUCAUCAUGGCUGUCGGCAUCACCGUCGUCGUCUGCUUCACCGUGGUCAUCUUCUCCCUGCAGGUCAGCGCCAGGGCUGCCCCUGCUCCUGCCUGGGAGGCUCCAGACUGGGGGUACAACACCCCAGUGACUCUCUCUGGGCUCCUGGGGGGCUGUGGGAUCCCCUCUCAUGGGCCUUUGGACCCCACAUGGGGUGUAUAGCCCUCCUGAGCUCUCUGCUGGCUCUGGGGGCUCCACCCGGGUUCUGACCCCCCCAAUCCCCCUCCCCACAGACCAAGUACGACUUCACCUCGUGCCGGGGCGUGCUCAUCAUCUGCCUGGUGGUGCUCGUGCUCUUCUCCAUCCUCUGCAUCUUCAUCCGGAACCGCAUCGUGGACAUCGUCUACGCCUCGCUGGGGGCCCUGCUCUUCACCUGCUUCCUGGAGGUGGACACGCAGGGUGUCCUUGGGGUGGAUGGUGCAGGGUGUGCUUGGCUGGUUUGGGGUGGGAGGGAUUUAUGGGAUCUGCUGGUUCCUCCUGCCUCCCACACUGCCCUGUCCUGCAGUUCCUGGUGCUGGACAUGCAGGGUGUGCUCAGGGUGUCUGGCUGGUUUGGGCUGGAGGGGAUUUGCUGGUUCCUCCUGCCCCCCACACUGCCCUGGCCCACAGUUCCUGGCAGUGGAGGGUGCAGAGUGUGCUUGGCUGGUUUAGGGUGGAGGACACCUGUGGGAUCCACUGGUUCCUCCUGCCCCUGACACUGCCCCGUCCUGCAGUUCCUGGUGGUAGACACAUAGGGUGUGCUUGGGGUGGAGGGUGCAGGGUGUGCCUGGUUGGUUUGGGAUUGGGGGAUUUAUGGGACCUGCUGAUUCCUCCUGCCCCCCACACUACCUCAUCCCACAGUUCCCUGAGGUGGACAUGCAGGGUGUGAUUGACUGGUUUGGGAUUGGGGGAUUUAUGGGACCUGCUGGUUCCUCCCUCCCCUGACACUGCUCCGUCCCACAGUUCCUGAUGGUGGACACGCAGGGUGGAGGGUGCAGG